CUUGCUGACCAAAACAACACAUAAAAACCAACUCAUGCCGUUGCAGAGUUAGGAGCUCAAUAGAUUAAUGAGAACUCCAUUUUUUUUUCCACCAUUCGAAUUAAACCUUGUUGGCCAAACUAAACCUACACACACAAUUCAACCACAAUUAUGAAAAAAAAAAAAAAAAAAAACUACACACACGCGCACACACACAUUGAUUCGAUAGGGCAAUCUGAACCUCUAUCUUACCCUGUCAUUAGAUAUCUAUAUAUAUUGCUUAUCUCUCUCCUUCUCCCUUUGUUUUUAUAUAUAUAUUAGACAUACUUGUGAUUGUUGAGCAAUAAUCAAUCAAUCGAAGAGAGAGAACUGAGAGGUCGAGAGAUUGUUAAAUUCCUUUUCCUGAUUACUCUGUUCGAGUCUAAUUACAGGACAACAAGAAUAGGAGAUAUUGUGGUUGUGAAUUGAUUAAUUGAAACUGAGUGGUCAAUUUUAGAGUUGGGUGAGAGGGAUUAUGGUGGUAGUGAAUAGUGAUGGGCACAAGAGGAAGACCCACUUUGUUAGGUCUCUUAAUGGAGUUGUGAUGAGAUUAGGUACCUAGAGAGAAGAAUGAAAAACUAUACCCAACCGAACAAGAAAUCCAGAUGUUUCUACAGUGGCGACACCAUCCACGACUUGAUCACUCCAAAUUCAAAAACUUCACGAAUUGCUUCGGAUUCGAUUUUACCUCAUCAAGGACAAAAUUGAUCCGGCGUAUUUUUAGAAAUCCUUUUAAUUGAUGGCCAGCACACCUUUGAGCAGUUCAGAUUAAGAAUGCCAAUUGAUGUCAUAGUUAUUGAUUGCUAAGGUUUCUGAUUUGGGACUAUUGACUGAGAAUUGUUCUUCGAAAUGAAGGAUUGCAGAGUAGUAGAGAGAAAGAAGUUUAAUUCUCUGCAUCAGUGGUAGGCCCAGAGAAUUAACCUCCGACAGAACAGAAGCGUACAAUGCUGGCAACCCAGAAGAAGAAGAUGAUGUGAUUGAAGAGGCUGAUUCGUACCAAGAGAGUAUGGAUUUGAGGAGGUUCUUUAGAAGACGAUGAUGGUCUCUCAUAGAUGUUGCCUCUUUGUGGUUCUUUUUCCUGUGCCAUGAAUGCCGUCUCUUGAGUUCUCUCACUGGUACUUAUCCCCAAAAUAAGUCAAUUCAGCUGAAUUAUAGCAUAAAAGAUGCAAUCCUAAGCUUAGUGGAAGAAAGGAGCAAAGUGAAAGCAAAGUGGUAGAAAAUAGGAAACUUCGAUCGAUCAGAACAAGCUUAGAUCGAUCUCACAGUGAUCAUUCCAACCAUGCCAAGAUGGAUCGAGCCUCUUGUCCUUAUCCUCAGGAAAUUCCUAUCUUCGACCGAUCCAACAUUACUUCGAUCGAUCGGACUUCUUUGAUCUUAUCCCCACCUACCACUUUUGUCCUUUUCCCAAAAUAUCCUAAAAAUAUCUCAGAUUUGCCUUUAUUCCAAAAAGGCGAUGGUUCGAUUGAUCUGACCACCCUUGUGAUCAAUCGAACCUCCUCAAGUGCGAAAAAACAGAGUUCCAGCCAAUUAAAAGGUGUGCUCGUGGUGCAAUCAUUUAGAGGUCCUAGUGCACGAGGUUUGACCAUUGGGUGUGACACUGGAGCUACUUAUAUAAGGAUUUUGAGCCAUUUUACACAUAUACAAUCUUAGAGAAAGGAACCAUAUAAUCAAGAGAGGUCGGAGGAGUCUAGAGAUUAGAGAGACACACACCAUUUGGGAGUUCUUCCACUCAUCUAGGGUUUCCAUCAAGGAGAAAAAGAUCAUUCCUACCAUAGAGAUGACCCUUGAGGGUUGGAUGACUACAUUAAUGAGUGGCUAAACCAUUCUCUUGGGGCUAGAGAUAGCCCUAAGCAUGCCUCCUAGACUUCGAUGUUUUGUACUUUGAGGGGAUUUGUGUUGUAAUUCUUGCCUUGACACUUGAUUUAUAUAUGAAUCUUGUUUCUACAA